AGUGAACGCUGGCGGUAGGCCUAACACAUGCAGGUCGAACGGCAGCACAGGAGAGCUUGCUCUCUGGGUGGCGAGUGGCGGACGGGUGAGGAAUACAUCGGAAUCUACUCUGUCGUGGGGGAUAGCGUAGGGAAACUUACGCUAAUACCGCAUACGACCUACGGGUGAAAGCAGGGGACCUUCGGGCCUUGCGCGAUUGAAUGAGCCGAUGUCGGAUUAGCUAGUUGGCGGGGUAAAGGCCCACCAAGGCGACGAUCCGUAGCUGGUCUGAGCGGAUGAUCAGCCACACUGGAAGUGAGACACGGUCCAGACUCCUACGGGAGGCAGCAGUGGGGAAUAUUGGACAAUGGGCGCAAGCCUGAUUCAGCCAUACCGCGUGGGUGAAGAAGGCCUUCGGGUUGUAAAGCCCUUUUGUUGGGAAAGAAAUCCAGCUGGCUAAUACCCGGUUGGGAUGACGGUACCCAAAGAAUAAGCACCGGCUAACUUCGUGCCAGCAGCCGCCGUAA
rnacentral:rRNA from 1 species